rnacentral:lncRNA from 1 species
UCAUGGAGCAUAAUAAUAAUAAUAAUAAUAAUAAGGAAAAACUUCAAAAACAUCCCCUGUGAUUUCGUAGUUUCUCACUCUGCCCCACUAUAAUUUAAAAUGUAUCAAAUUGCCCCUAUGUGGUUUCGUUUUUAUCUUUUCGGUAGCUUUUUCGUUAAUAUUUCAUUAAAUUAUAUACAAAAAACUUCAGAUACCCAUCUAGAUUUAUCAAAUAUUCACUUUAGUACCUUUUAAUUUUAACUUUAUCACUGAUUUAAGAAAAAAACAUAAUGAAAUUGAUAAGAAAAAGAGAAAAAAAAACCACAGGGGGCCAAAUUGAUACAUUUUAAACCACGGGGGGCAAAGUGAGAAACUACGAAACAACAUGGAAGGUUUUUGAAGUUUUCCCUAAUAAUAAUUAUUGGAAAAGGA